AUGGCUCUCUGCCAUGCACGAGGUACUAUCCAGGAGAGUUUUACAACACUCGUGGUCACACUAUGGGCCUUGUGGGGAGCGCGCCGUAAGGCGAUCUAUGAGCAAAUAUACCAAAGUCCUUUUCAGGUUCAUGGAUUUAUUCAGUCUUACAUAAGGGAAUUGGAAGCUAUCAAGACUGUUAAAGCAAGGCAGGGUGGCAAUACUGUUCCUCGCCCAACUAGCUGGAUUCCCCCUCCAUCAGGGAUGACAAAACUGAAUGUAGAUGCUGCAGUGGGGAGGGGCAGUAGACACGGCUCGGUAGCGGCAAUAUCAAGAGACUCUGAUGGCCUUUUUCUGGGAGCAUCGGCGAUGGUUUUUGUAGGUAUUUCCGAUCUGGCCACGCUUGAGUGUAUGGCGAUCAGGGAGGCGUUGGCCCUUGCGGAUGACCUCAAUGUUUCAUCUAUACAAGUGGCGCCCGACUCGAAGGUGGUGGUCGAGGACAUCCAAGCUAACAAUCCUACAGCUUAUGGUGCGAUCAUACAUGAAAUAAUAGAGCAUAGAUCAAAUUUCCUUUUCUGUAAUCUUAGCCACGAAUUUAGGAGCUUGAAUGUCGAAGCUCACAAACUCGCGAAGCACGCUUUAUCGCUUCCGGCUGGCCGACAUGUUUGGUUGGGACAGCCGGACGGACUUUCUUUCGUCCAUGUAAACAUUGUGACGACCUAA
rnacentral:rRNA from 1 species